CCUAGCGGCGGACGGGUGAGUAAUGCGUAGGAAGCUGCCCGAUAGAGGGGGAUACCAGUUGGAAACGACUGUUAAUACCGCAUAAUGUCUACGGACCAAAGUGUGGGACCUUCGGGCCACAUGCUAUCGGAUGCGCCUACGUGGGAUUAGCUAGUUGGUGAGGUAAUGGCUCACCAAGGCGACGAUCUCUAGCUGGUUUGAGAGGAUGAUCAGCCACACUGGAACUGAGACACGGUCCAGACUCCUACGGGAGGCAGCAGUGGGGAAUAUUGGACAAUGGGCGCAAGCCUGAUCCAGCCAUGCCGCGUGUGUGAAGAAGGCCUUCGGGUUGUAAAGCACUUUCAGCGAGGAGGAAGGGAUGUAUGUUAAUAGCAUGCAUUUUUGACGUUACUCGCAGAAGAAGCACCGGCUAACUCUGUGCCAGCAGCCGCGGUAAUACAGAGGGUGCAAGCGUUAAUCGGAAUUACUGGGCGUAAAGCGCACGUAGGCGGUUAGUUAAGUUGGAUGUGAAAGCCCCGGGCUCAACCUGGGAAUUGCAUUCAAAACUGGCUAACUAGAGUAUGUGAGAGGGGGGGUAGAAUUCCAAGUGUAGCGGUGAAAUGCGUAGAGAUUUGGAGGAAUACCAGUGGGCGAAAGGCGGCCCCCUGGCACAAUACUGACGCUGAGGUGCGAAAGCGUGGGGAGCAAACAG
rnacentral:rRNA from 1 species